AGAGUUUGAUCAUGGGCUCAGGAUGAACGCUAGCUACAGGCUUAACACAUGCAAGUCGAGGGGCAGCGAGAAGGAAGCUUGCUUUCUUGUCGGCGACCGGCGCACGGGUGAGUAACGCGUAUCCAACCUUCCCCUUAGUAGGGCAUAGCCCGUAGAAAUGCGGAUUAAUACCCUAUGUUAUUCGUCGAGGACAUCUGAAGUGAAUCAAAGGUUUACCGCUAAGGGAUGGGGAUGCGUCUGAUUAGGCAGCAGGCGGGGUAACGGCCCACCUGGCCUACGAUCAGUAGGGGUUCUGAGAGGAAGGUCCCCCACAUUGGAACUGAGACACGGUCCAAACUCCUACGGGAGGCAGCAGUGAGGAAUAUUGGUCAAUGGGCGAGAGCCUGAACCAGCCAAGUAGCCGUGCAGGAUGACGGCCCUAUGGGUUGUAAACUGCUUUUAUGCGGGGAUAAAGUGAGGGACGUGUCCCUUAUUGUAGGUACCGCAUGAAUAAGGACCGGCUAAUUCCGUGCCAGCCGCGGC
rnacentral:rRNA from 1 species